GAUGAAACGGAAAGAGAAUUGACGCCAGACGAGAAGGCAGCAGUAGCCCAAGUAACAGAAACAUUACGUUUGAGAGACGGUCGAUACGAGAUUGGCAUUCCGUGGAAAAGAGGCGAACCACACCUAGUAAACAACUACGAAAUGGCUUUAAACAGACUCAAGACCCAAGAAAGAUCCCUAGUACGAAAAGGUUCCGAAGUAGCAAACACAUAUGACGAGAUCAUCAAGGAUUACGAAAGAAAAGGCUAUGUUAAAAAAGUGCCCAAGAGCAAUGAACUUGAACAGUGGUUUCUCCCACAUUUCCCAGUGAUAAGACAGGAUCGAACAACAACUAACGUGCGUAUGGUCUUUGAUGCCGCUGCCAAAGACAACGGGAAAUGUCUCAAUGAUGCUGUGCGGCCUGGUCCGAAACUUCAAAGAGAGUUAACUGAUGUAUUGACACGCUUUCGACGAGCCCCUAUAGCCCUAUCUGGAGACAUCUCGGAGAUGUUUCUACAAGUUGGUCUUAUUGAGGAAGAUCGACGUUACCACAGGUUUCUCUGGCGCGACUUUGAUUCAAGAAAAGAUCCAGAUCACUACGAGUUUAAACGACUCCUGUUUGGUAACAGGGCUUCCCCAUUCUGUGCACAACACGUUGUGCACACCCACGCGAAAGUUCACGCUGCAGAUUACCCUCAUGCUGCAGAAACUGUUGACAAUUCUAUGUAUGUGGACGAUGUGUUAGACUCAUUUGAGACGGUAGACGAGGCUAUACAACUACGACAUGAACUGUCAGAGUUGCUUGCUAUGUGCAAUUUCAAGCUGAGAAAAUGGUCAUCCAAUGAUUCCACCGUCCUGAACGACAUUCCGACAGAAGACCGUCUGCAGAGCUUUGAGAUCCAUGACACGGAGGAGUCCCCCAAGACAAAGACUCUCGGUAUACUGUGGGAAUCAACGAGCGAUGUUUUUACUUUCCGGGUCCAACCACCCAAUGUGGAUAUGAAGUUGACAAAAAGAAACGUUCUCAGCACUAUAGCGACUAUCUUUGACCCACUGCAGUUCUUGGCCCCCUUCACCCUACGUGCUAAGAUUUUGAUGCAGGAAAUCUGGAUAGCUGAAAUCGGUUGGGACGAUCUCCUUACAGACGGAUUGAUUUUCAAGUGGAAAAAAUGGGUCUCGGAACUACGUGAAUUAUCGCAGGUCACUAUUCCUCGAAGUCUCCGUCUACCCAGUCCUUCCCAAAGUCGGUUACACGUAUUUUCAGAUGCAUCAAAAGAAGCUUAUGCUACGGUAGCCUACUUAGUUUGUCGAUAUUCUGACGAGAGCACGACCUCGAGAAUUGUUGCGUCGAAAAGUAGAGUGGCACCAACAAAAGCAGUGACGAUACCACGGCUAGAACUCAUGGGUGCAGUUCUUUCCACUCGACUGGCAAAGAACAUUAGCAAGACCUUAGAAGUUGGAGAACCUAUAUUCUGGACUGACUCGACAAACGUGUUGUACUGGAUACGAAACCAAAGUCGUGAUUUCAAGCCGUUUGUAGCCAACCGAAUCGGCGAAAUUCACAGAUCCACUAACCCAGAGCAGUGGAGACAUAUACCUGGAGAGUCGAAUCCAGCAGACCUGCCAACAAGAGGAUUGUCAGCCACAGACCUAGCAAACAACGAAUUGUGGAAGAAGGGACCAGAAAUUCUACAACAAGACGAGUCAACAUGGCCCCCUCAAAUCCCCAACGAAGAAAUUCAGAGAAAUAUUGUCGAAGGCGAAAGACGAAAGGUUAACGUUACUCACACAACAAGGGACAGUUCAAACCAAAGUCUCAUUGAUCCAAAUCGUUUCUCGAGCUUUCAAAGAUUAGUGCACGUCACCGGAUGGGUUCGACGUUUCCUGAGUAAUUGCAAACAGCCUAACGAAAACCGAGAAAAAAGUCGGACGCUCCGAGCACAAGAAUUACAGCAAGCAGAGACAUAUUGGUUUAAACGAACACAGAGCGAGGCGUUUCCCGACGGUGUGAAAGAAAAGUGUUUGAUUCAAUUAAAUCCAAAGAAAGACGAGAAUGGGUUAUUACGAUCUGACGGCUGAUUACGCAACGCCACUGACGUGCCAUAUGGUGUUAGACACCCCAUUUUAUUACCCAAAGAUCAUACUGUAACACGUCUGAUAAUUAUAAGUGCACACGAAAAUCUCGGACACGGUUCUGGUGUUGAACAUGUUCUAACUGAGCUGCGUGCCCGAUUCUGGAUAAUCAAAGGAAGACGAACUGUGCGAAAUACGAUUGAAAAGUGUCCUGGCUGUCGUAGACGAUUCACCGGAAAACCAACUACUCAAAUGAUGGCUCCGUUACCGAUGUCAAGAUUGCAAUGCCCCCUACGAGCCUUUGAACGCGUUGGUGUGGAUUACGGCGGACCAUACUUGACCAAACAGGGAAGAGGCAAGACAAGAGCAAAACGUUACCUGUGUCUAUUUACUUGUCUUACUACACGGGCUGUACAUUUGGAAAUGGCGUAUUCCCUGGAUACAGAUUCCUUUAUAAACGCGUUUACCAGGAUGGUAGCAAGGAGGGGGAAGCCGACAUACGUAGUUUCUGAUAACGGUACCAACUUUGUUGGAGCGGAACGAGAACUGCGAGAGUUAGCAGAAGCAUUUGAUCUAGAAAAAAUUACAAACAAGACAACACAAGAUUAUGCGAUGGAGUGGAAGUUCAAUCCACCAUCGGCCCCACACUUCGGUGGUGUAUUCGAGGCAAUGAUCAAGAGUGCUAAAAAAGCCAUAAAAGCUAUUCUUGGUAAUGCGGACAUUACCGACGAGGAACUUCAUACUGCCAUUUGCGAUGCAGAACGUUUAUUAAACUCACGACCAAUCACCUUCAUCAGUUCAGAUCCUGAUGAUCUUUCCCCGUUGACCCCGAGUCAUUUCCUUAUCGGACAGUUGGGAGGAAAAUUUGCUCCUGAAACCGCAGAUCGAGAUGAAGUUUUCAACCCCCGAAAGCGUUGGCAUCGUGUACAGCAGUUGGUGGGGCAGUUUUGGAAACGCUGGAGGAGAGAGUUUCUGCCGAGCUUAAAUACACGAAAGAAGUGGUUUCAUCCGACACACAACCUAAAGGAGGACGACGUAGUGAUGUUAGUAGAGCCGAAUGCAAAGAGAGGAGAAUGGCCUCUUGGUCGAGUUAUCGAAGUAAUUCCUGGAAAUGAUGGAUUGGUACGAGUUGUAAGGAUAAAAACGAAAGACGGUGAAUACUUGCGUCCGGUGCACCGGUUGUGCCCUUUUGAAUACGCAGGAGACAAUUCAUAACGCUCGGACUGUUACCUAAGACAUUGAACACAUCGCAGUUAUAUAUUAACUAGUUUUGUUAGUUGGGUUCGAAUGUUUUUACAUUCGGGAGGGGGAUGUUUCUGUCCUUAUGACAGCAUCCAGUUAAAAAUAGAGAUCAGGAAUGCGACCGCAAAAGACAAGGACCGCGGGCGCAAAAACGUGAGACGAACGUUUUAUUGUCGUAUCGAAAGAUUGUUUUGCGAAUUCCGUUAAAUAUUAUGUAAAUUUCUUGUUAAAAUACACGAAAAAACUGAAAGCUAU
rnacentral:lncRNA from 1 species